rnacentral:rRNA from 1 species
UCAGUUCCGCAGCUGAUCUAGCCAUGCCGCGUGAGUGAUGACAUGCCUUAUGGGUGGAAAGCUCUUUCUGCAGGGGAGAUAAUGACUGUACCUGGAGAAGAAUCCCCGGCUCAUUCCAUGCCAGCAGCCGUGGUAAUACGGAGGGGGUUAGCGUUGUUCGGAAUUUCUGGGCGUAAAGCGGAUUUAUUGGGUUUAAAGGGUGCGGGGGGAAAUCCCUAAGUUCAACCCGAGAACUGCCUUCUCAACUCCGAACCUGGUAUUGAAACUGGGUGAGUGGAAUUCCGACGAUGCAGGCGGAAUGUGUAAAGAUUCGGAGAAAUGCCUAGGUAUUACACAGAACACCGAUAGCGAACGGAGCUUGCCAGACUGCAAUUGACACUAAUGCCCGAAAGCGUGGCCAGCGAACAGGACUCCAUACCCUGUUAGUGCACGCCGUAAACGAUGAUUACUGGCUGUGGGACAUCCAUCGUAUGAAACUUACCGCCUGUAUUAAGCAAUCCACCUGGUAAGAACCUUCGCAAUUUGUGAAGACUCAAAGGAAUUGACGGAGAA